GAUUUUAGACCAAAUUUAUGGAGUUGUUACAGAUUUAUUCAUAAUAAAUAGUAUAAUUAUAAAGCUUUUAUUGGUAAAUUGCUCGUAUGUUAAAUUUGCCUUACCCAUAAACUUUUUAUAUCAUGAUUUAUUUCUAAUUAUCAAGUUUCUAUUACUAAUGGGCUCGACUGAACCCAUGAUGGAUAUGGAAAAAAGUACCUCUUAGUUUCCACAGAGCGGAAAGAGUGAAAAUAUACUAUAGUAGAAACUCGAUAAUUCGUCAUGUUCUGCAAUUUGUCACCUCGAAAAGGUUUUAUUUUUAGACACUGAACCCUAUUUCACACGUAAUGUGUAAUAGCCAGUUCUCGUUAAUUGCUGUAUUUAGUGUGUUUUCAUUGCGUUUACAGUUCAAAGUUUUGGUUCUCAUUUUACGUACUGUAUUCGGAUUAAUUAAAAGUGAAUUAUAUAUUCUGUAAUGGCUUUAAAAGGACCGUCUAAUCGCCAAUCUACUGAUCUACCAUUGAAAUUCGAAAUUCUACAGCGUCUUAGAAAAGGAGAAAGAGCCAGCCAACUCUGUAACAUUUUCAAACGACUUAAAAAAGAAUGGAGACAAAAUCGAAAAUCAAGAAUGGAACUUACCUAUGGUGACGUAAGUAAACUUAUUAGGCUUAUUCUACCGACAAACACAGAUUUAGAUGAAGCUAUUUACUUAUGGUUCAUACAAUAACGAACUUUAGGCGAGAUGGCUGGGAAAAUUUAAGAAGGAACACGGGUUUCGGCAGCUGUCUAUUCAAGGAGAAGUUACGAGUGAUGAUAGCGAAUGUAUUAAAAAUUAUUGCAAAAAAUUGAUCUCUCCGAUUUCAAAUUUAGGUUUAAAUAGAAUAGGUUUGAAUAAGUAACAUAAGCAGCACCCAUUGCAUUCUCGAUCUUGGAUACGUUAGCAUAUGUUCUAAAUGAAAGGUAAUCUCUCGGCUCACAAGUGUAUAACUGUGAUAAAAGCGAUCUGUAUCGGAUUGCUUUACCACCGAUAACUUCAGCGUGUGGUUCAGAAACUUUGGCUCCAGGAUAUAAAAUGAUGAAAGAAAGACUGACGAUUAUGGUUUGUUCAAAUGCAAGCUGAAAUCAUAAACCUCCAUUAAUAGUGGUUGGAAAAGCUAAGAAAUCAAGACCUCUAAAACAAUUUUAAUGGAAAAAUCUGUUGAUUAUUUCGGCCAAAAUAAAUGCAUAGAUGUAUUAAGAAAUUUUUACAAGCUUGUUUUGUUGUUCGGGUGAAAUCGUGUCUUAAUAACUCCUGUGCUUUUUGUGGAAAAUUUCUGAAAUUUUGCAGCCGACACGAGGAUUAAUAUCCGAAAGAAUUUACGAAAAACGUAGAAGAAUUUUAAAAAAUUGCAUUCUGUUUUCGGAACUCUUGUUUAUAAUUACUUCAAUAGUUUCAUUGGCUUGUGUAAUAAUUGCUGUUAUUGGCUUCAUGUCUUGGAAUCUCUUCUACUGGAUAUUUGGAAUCACAUCAGGAAUAUUUUGCUUUUCGAUUUUGAUGCGAAUGAUAUUAGGCUGCGUCAUAUAUCGUAUACCAGUAGAAAAUUUAGAUAGCCAGUAUAGUAAAAAGAAACCCGAGUUUCCUCCCGAAUUAUUCCACUGGACAUUAAGAAGAUAUUAAAAUGCAAACAAAGUCAUCCGCAAAAUAUUUUUAACCGUUAACUAUUUCGAAAUAUAUGUAAAUUUUGAUUUAAAAAAUUAUGAAAUUUCAUACGGUUA